rnacentral:rRNA from 1 species
AUUGAUUACCACAAAAUUGUACUGAUUGACAUUUUAACCCAAAGUGAGUGGCGAACGGGUGAGUAACACGUGGGUAACCUGCCCAGAAGUAGGGGAUAACACCUGGAAACAGAUGCUAAUACCGUAUAACAGAGAAAACCGCAUGGUUUUCUUUUAAAAGAUGGCUCUGCUAUCACUUCUGGAUGGACCCGCGGCGUAUUAGCUAGUUGGUGAGGUAAAGGCUCACCAAGGCAGUGAUACGUAGCCGACCUGAGAGGGUAAUCGGCCACAUUGGGACUGAGACACGGCCCAGACUCCUACGGGAGGCAGCAGUAGGGAAUCUUCCACAAUGGACGCAAGUCUGAUGGAGCAACGCCGCGUGAGUGAAGAAGGGUUUCGGCUCGUAAAGCUCUGUUGUUAAAGAAGAACGUGGGUAAGAGUAACUGUUUACCCAGUGACGGUAUUUAACCAGAAAGCCACGGCUAACUACGUGCCAGCAGCCGCGGUAAUACGUAGGUGGCAAGCGUUAUCCGGAUUUAUUGGGCGUAAAGCGAGCGCAGGCGGUCUUUUAAGUCUAAUGUGAAAGCCUUCGGCUCAACCGAAGAAGUGCAUUGGAAACUGGGAGACUUGAGUGCAGAAGAGGACAGUGGAACUCCAUGUGUAGCGGUGAAAUGCGUAGAUAUAUGGAAGAACACCAGUGGCGAAGGCGGCUGUCUGGUCUGCAACUGACGCUGAGGCUCGAAAGCAUGGGUAGCGAACAGGAUUAGAUACCCUGGUAGUCCAUGCCGUAAACGAUGAAUUACUAAGUGUUGGAGGGUUUCCGCCCUUCAGUGCUGCAGCUAACGCAAUUAAGUACUCCGCCUGGGGAGUACGACGGAAGGUUGAACUCAAAAGAAUUGACGGGGGCUCGCACA